UUGUUUACCUAAGCAAGCCUGGGCAAUGGCGGGCGCCCCUCCCCCAGCCUCGCUGCCGCCUUACAGUUUGAUCUCAGACUGCUGUGCUAGCAAUCAGUGAGACUCCCUAGGCGUAGGACCCUCCGAGCCAGGUGCGAGAUAUAAUCUCGUGGUGGUGCGCCGUUUUUUAAGCCAGUCGGAAAAGCGCAGUAUUCGGAUGGGAGUGACCCGAUUUUCCAGGUGCCGUCUGUCACCCCUUUCUUUGACUCGGAAAGGGAACUCCCUGACUCCUUGCGAGACGUGGAAGCUCUUUUUAAUGUCUGAGCAUUUUUCCCUGCUGCUGCCAUGUGAAGAAGGACAUGUUUGCUUCCCCUCCACUAGGAUUGUAAGUCUCCUGAUGCCUCCCCAGCCAUGUGGAACUG
rnacentral:lncRNA from 10 species